AAUUUUUAUUUGGUUUUCAAAGGACGCACUACACUACGCCGCGCAUUUUAAGAGAUUUAACAAAAAUCGUUGUCGCCUGGUUUUUAUCAUAAUUUUAUUGCCCAUUUGAUCUUGUCGCGUUUUGGUCGCAUGUUUUUCUGUUCCCACUCCUAGCACAAAGCUUCAAUGCUACACCGUAUUAUAUUUAGUUUGAUAGUAGUUGUUUCGUAGAAUGAAAGUGAGCUUACUAAUUAAUCUUGAGAGGUUAUUUAAUGUAACUGAGUUAGUGCUACUUCCUUUUGGCUUUGAUGUGUUUGAGACUUAAAGAAACUUGUUCUAGUAGGGUAAUGAUAGUACAGUGGAUGUCUCUUAGAGUAAAUAUCUUUUUACACUUAUAGAUCUGGAUAGAAUUUGAAAGUUUUACUCUUUUAUCAGAUCACUUCACUCAUGCAACUUAUCGAAAUUACAAUAAACUAUUCAAGCCUUGUUUAAAUGUGUUUCUGUGCUAGAAAAAGUAUACUUAUGUGACACUUCCAUGGAUCAAAUCGUGUGAAUGGCACGGUAAAGAACAAACACAUUCCAAGCUAGAGCUCCAGAUCUGCCUUAAAUUUCAGUAAUGGCCUUCAAUCACAUUUUCUAGAAAACUGGUGAUAUGUGAUUCUAAGUUGGUCCCACUUAUUUUGAUUAUCUUAGUUUAGCUGUAAUAUCGAAUUCGAAGAGCUGUUAUUAUUAUUCCUUGAACUGCAGGUGUUUUGAAAGUAUUUGCAAUCUAUCUACAACCUCAUCCCUGCCCCUAUAAUGGAGUAGAUCAUGUGUUUUGUUAAAAUGUUUUUGAAAAAAUUAUUGGUAGCAAUGAAUUGUGCUCUGCCAAUUGCAACACUUAAAAUUUGAUUGUGCUCUGCCAAUUGCAUCACUUGAUUUAAUUGAAUGUAUAUAUACUGUUUGACACACUUUUCAUUUCUAUAUUCCUGGUGCAGAAACAGACCUAACUCUAUGUAUAUUGUUUAUUCUGAUUAUUGUAAAGCUCUAGCUCUAAGCAGUUAGCCAGAAUGUUAACUUUUAAGUAUCAUUAUUACUAGCUGAACCAGAAUUUUCCUUGGGACGAGAUUCUUUCCUGGCAAACAUUAUUAUAUGCUGGUAUAAUAACGACCGAUUCUUCAGACGAAAACAUGACUGGUGAGAGUCGUGUGAUCUCUACAACAACUGCUGCACAAUGUGUGUCUACGACAGUAGCUUCCUCUGUCCUGUCGGAGAUUUCAGGAGGAGACUGGACGUGUUCCAGCCCAACACCAGGAACCAUUAUACACCAACAGGGUAUUUUGUGUCAAGAACGAGGUUAACCUUCCACCUAACCAGAUAAACAACAAAUUCAUAGAUUUCAUGUUGAGUUACGUGCCAAAGAAUACAGAAACGACGUUUGCAUCAUUAAUGUGAAAAAGACCUGGGAGAAACUCCUUCAAGCCGCACGUCACGCCUUAAGAGUGAUAGCUAAUAUCGUUAACCCCGCUGAAGUGGUUUCAUCUCAUCGAGAGACUACAGAUAUGGAAACGUGCGAAGUACGAAGUCAGCGAAGUACGAAGUCAGCUAGAAUUGUGUACUGUCGGUACACAAUUCUAGCUGAGAAAGCAGAGUUCAGAGCAGAAUUAAAGCAGAAAGCUGCCAACCAUCACCUCUCAGCAACACAAAACCUCUUCACCGAAGCCCUAUCUACAUACCCACCCGAAAUCAACGUGGAACUACCAAGAGUCCCUCACGAGAAUUGUCCAAAGAUCACGAGCAGAUAAGUCCGGAUCUGCAAACCACUCUGAAGCACCUACCUCACAGACUUCGUCCUACCAGCUACUUGCCUGACUUCACUGAGAGAGGAAGCGCUAGCAGACAAGGGAAGGUGAUCAGGCUGCAGGACCAGCUGCUGGUGCAGAAGGACGAACAACUACAGUUGAAUAGACAGUACAAACAGCGGUGGAGUCAGGGAUUAAGAGCUACAGUGCAGCUGUUCAACAGAACAGUGCAAGUGGUACGGUCUGCUACAGUAAAAUCCUGAAGAAGAUGAUGAAGAGUGUGGCUGCAGAGGAGGACAGGAGCAAGAAUCUGAUAGUGUUUGGACUGAAAGAAGAGGAUGAAGAACAGCUACCAGCUCUUGUAAACGCAGUAUUGGACGAGAUCGGGGAGAAACCUCAUUUUGAAGCGACAAGAGUCGGCUGGAAGAGGCCAGGUACGGCCAUCCUACCAGCCAAGAUCACUGU